rfam:Microgenomates (Woesebacteria) bacterium GW2011_GWB1_38_8 TT08_C0010, whole genome shotgun sequence.
GUCGCGGUGGCGGAGCGGCCAAUCGCACUAGACUGUAAAUCUAGCGCCCGUACGGGCUACGUAGGUUCGAAUCCUACCCGCGACA